CCUGCGCCGCGACCCCGCCGCGCUGCCGUUGUUCCCAGGCGAUUGCUGUUUCGCGGCUCGGCGAUGCAGACCACGUAAAGGACAACGGAAAACGUCUCCCUGCUGGGGCCGGUUCUGUAACGUAUUGAGCGCUCACGUUCUGAAAAAAAACCUUUGGACCCUCUUCUACCUCCGCCGAGAAAGCCCAUCUGGAAGGCAACUCUAAACAGCUUCAAGUGUCACUUGGCUGACAUCACGGCCGACCCGAGAGAGGCAGGAAGAAGUUGUACUUCUACUGAAGAGAUCUUUUUCUUCUCACACAGGCCACGUCUUGAAAAUCAAAGGUCAGGUUCAUUUCUUUUGUUUUGCCUAAUCCAAGAAGUUGUAAAUUAUGCUGAAGCCAGUUAUCCUGCAGCAUCAAAUGGGUUCUGAAUCCAAGUACAAAGAUGACAUUUGGUGCGCUCUGGUACAUUUGUAAUUUUUUUUUU